rnacentral:rRNA from 1 species
UACGAAGGGGGCUAGCGUUGUUCGGAAUUACUGGGCGUAAAGCGCACGUAGGCGGGCGAUUAAGUCAGGGGUGAAAUCCCGGAGCUCAACUCCGGAACUGCCUUUGAUACUGGUCAUCUAGAGAUCGGAAGAGGUGAGUGGAAUUCCCAGUGUAGAGGUGAAAUUCGUAGAUAUUCGGAAGAACACCAGUGGCGAAGGCGGCUCACUGGUCCGGUACUGACGCUGAGGUGCGAAAGCGUGGGGAGCAAACAGG